GACCUCCCGGUCGCGGCCGGCUGUGACAGAGCCUGGACUCGAACACAGAAUCUCUGGUGGCACAGCGAGCACUGCGAUGCAGUGUCUUAGACCACUGCGCCACCCGGGAGGCCCUAUUAUCAUUUUUUAAUGUAUACAUUUGCAAAAAUUCUAAAAACCUGUUUUCGCUUUGUCAUUAUGGGGUAUUGUGUGUAGAUUGAUGAGGAACAAAAAAUAUGUAGUCCAUUUUAGAGUAAAGCUGUAACGUAACAACAUGUGGAAAAGAGUCUGGGGUCUGAAUACACUGUAUUUACUCAACACAGAAACCACCCCCAGGUGAGUUCCUAUCAGGGUUAUAGGAGAUAUUUACUGAACACAGAAACAACCCCCAGAUGAGUUCCUAUCAGGUUUAUAGGAGAUAUUUACUGAACACAGAAACAACCCCCAGAUGAGUUCCUAUCAGGUUUAUAGGAGAUAUUUACUGAACACAGAAACAACCCCCAGAUGAGUUCCUAUCAGGUUUAUAGGAGAUAUUUACUGAACACAGAAACAACCCCCAGAUGAGUUCCUAUCAGGUUUAUAGGAGAUAUUUACUGAACACAGAAACAACCCCCAGAUGAGUUCCUAUCAGGUUUAUAGGAGAUAUUUACUGAACACAGAAACAACCCCCAGAUGAGUUCCUAUCAGGUUUAUAGGAGAUAUUUACUGAACACAGAAACAACCCCCAGAUGAGUUCCUAUCAGGUUUAUAGGAGAUAUUUACUGAACACAGAAACAACCCCCAGAUGAGUUCCUAUCAGGUUUAUAGGAGAUAUUUACUGAACACAGAAACAACCCCCAGAUGAGUUCCUAUCAGGUUUAUAGGAGAUAUUUACUGAACACAGAAACAACCCCCAGAUGAGUUCCUAUCAGGUUUAUAGGAGAUAUUUACUGAACACAGAAACAACCCCCAGAUGAGUUCCUAUCAGGUUUAUAGGAGAUAUUUACUGAACACAGAAACAACCCCCAGAUGAGUUCCUAUCAGGUUUAUAGGAGAUAUUUACUGAACACAGA